GUAGUACUCCCUCCGUCCCAAAAUACUUGUCGGAGAAAUGGAUAAAAAUAGAUGUAUCUACAACUAAAAUACAUCUAGAUACAUCCAUUCGUCCGACAAGUAUUUCCGGACGGACGGAGUAUCAU
rnacentral:pre_miRNA from 1 species